rnacentral:rRNA from 1 species
CUGUCUGAAUAUGGGGGGACCAUCCUCCAAGGCUAAAUACUCCUGACUGACCGAUAGUGAACCAGUACCGUGAGGGAAAGGCGAAAAGAACCCCGGCGAGGGGAGUGAAAAAGAACCUGAAACCGUGUACGUACAAGCAGUGGGAGCACCCUUUGGGGUGUGACUGCGUACCUUUUGUAUAAUGGGUCAGCGACUUAUAUUCUGUAGCAAGGUUAACCGCAUAGGGGAGCCGUAGGGAAACCGAGUCUUAACCGGGCGUUAAGUUGCAGGGUAUAGACCCGAAACCCGGUGAUCUAGCCAUGGGCAGGUUGAAGGUUGGGUAACACUAACUGGAGGACCGAACCGACUAAUGUUGAAAAAUUAGCGGAU